rnacentral:rRNA from 1 species
UUGGGAAUAUUGGACAAUGGGGGAAACCCUGAUCCAGCAAUGCCGCGUGGGUGACGAAGGCCUUCGGGUUGUAAAGCCCUUUUGGCGGGGACGAUGAUGACGGUACCCGCAGAAUAAGCCCCGGCUAACUUCGUGCCAGCAGCCGCGGUAAUACGAAGGGGGCUAGCGUUGUUCGGAAUUACUGGGCGUAAAGGGCGCGUAGGCGGCCGUGCAAGUCAGAUGUGAAAGCCCUGGGCUCAACCCAGGAGGUGCAUUUGAUACUGCAUGGCUAGAGUGUCGGAGAGGAUGGUGGAAUUCCCAGUGUAGAGGUGAAAUUCGUAGAUAUUGGGAAGAACACCGGCGGCGAAGGCGACCAUCUGGACGACAACUGACGCUGAGGCGCGAAAGCGUGGGGAGCAAACAGGAUUAGAUACCCUGGUAGUCCACGCCGUAAACUAUGCGUGUUGGACGUUGGCGAGCCUAGCUCGUCGGUGUCGCAGCUAACGCGUUAAACACGCCGCCUGGGGAGUACGGCCGCAAGGUUA